AUCACUCCAGCCAUCGCACUCCAGCCUGGGAGACUCCGUAUCAAAACAAACAAACAGACAAACAAAAGACAAUGAAGUCAUCCCCAAUGCAUAUCUUAGCCACAGGUUACUUACUAUCCUUACGAAAAUCUCAUUUCACAAGAAAGAAAAUGAAAAAGCUGUAUAAAGUUUGUUGUUGUUUUUUUUCCUUUUCACCACUAGUUUUAAAAGUCUUACUCUCGGUAUCUAUAUCUAGUACAAGAUAAUAUUUUCUCCAAAAGAGAAAAAGACAGAAAAUUAGUAAGGUACUUGGCUUCACCUCCAUUACUGAUUUAGCAUAGUUAAAAAUAUACUUUAUCAUCAAGUAUAAAACUACCAAUCAGAUGUUUUAAUAUUCCCUUUGCUUCUAUUAUUUCCUUUAAAAGUACACAGAUUCAAAAAUAACUUUAAGACAUCCUCGUUAAAAAUAAGUAUCAUGGUUUAUAAUGUGGUUUCUGUAUGUAAGUAAUGCCGGCCACACUUAUAACAGCAUUUGCUAUACACAAGUCUUUAAGAUAUAUUAAGACAGUGGACAACUCAUUGCGGUGGCGGCAGCAGAUGCUUGGGCACGGUGCAGUGGUGACUCGAGCUACGAGCCUGGUGGCAGUUGUUCACCAAGCUCCGGCCCCCGCGUGUCUCCCAGGCUCCACAACCCUGAUGCUACACAGGUGCUGAGACCACUCCGGCCGGGACAAUGGUCAAGUAUUUCCUGGGCCAGAGCGUGCUCCAGAGUUCCUGGGACCAAGUGUUCGCCAACUUCUGGCAGCAGUACCCGAACCCCUAUAGCAAACAUGUGUUGACAGAAGACACAGUACACCAGGCAGCGACCGCUGACCAGAAACUGCUGUCCCGGCGACUCCUGACCAAGACCAACAGGAUGCCCCACUGGGCCAAGCAACUGUUUCCGGUCAAUGUUGUUCACUUGGUGUACAUCCUGAAGGACUCUAUGUGGACCCACAGAAUCAGACCAUGACCACCUUCACCUGGAACAACAACCAUGCCCGGCUGAUGGUGGUGGAGAAACGAUGUAUGCACUGUGUAAACUCUGACAACAGUGGCUGAACCAAAAUCUGCAGGGAAGCCUGGGUCUCCUCUAGCUUAUUUGGUGUUAACAGAGAUGUCCAGGAAUUUGGUCUUGCCUGGUUCAAAAGCAACGUGAUCAAGACUCUGAAGGGUUUUGAAUAUAUCUUGGCAAAGAUGCAAUGCGAGGCCCCUUCUAAAACACUUGUUGAGACAGCCAAGGAAACCAAGGAGCACACAAAGGAGACGGCACUGGUAGCUACAGAGAAGGCAAGGACCUCACCAGCAAGGCAGCCACCUAGAAGCAGCAGCAGCAGCAGUUUGUAUAGCCAGCUCACCACCACCACAGCAUCCCAGACAGUUUGGUUUAGCCCCCUCUGCCCUCCUCUCCACUGUACUUUAUCAUUAAAAAUCAACUUCCAGCCCUAAAAGUACAUUUAUUUAUUUAUUUAUUAAGACAGCUGAUCAAUUACUUUACCAAACAACACAGAUUUAAUGAAGGAAUUCAUAUGAGAGGACAGGACUAAAAAAACAAGUCACCUUAAAAACAGGAAAACAUUUUUCUUUUCACAGUAAAGGAAUUAUACCAAUUACUUUUUAAAAAUGAAAUUCUCCUUUGUAAAUGUAUAUACUUAGUUUAUGUACUAAGAAUAUUCUUUGUAACCCUGAUUUCAAUUAUACAGUGCCAGUAAAGAAUAUUUUUCUCUAAGUUAACUUGCAUUAAUAUUGACAGAAGAUCAAUUAACUAAAUUUUACAAAUUAUUUCACAAAGAUUACAAAAGACUCACUCAUUACAAAACAUUCACUACCUGAAAUGUCAGAACAGUGUUCAACAGGUCAAAGACAUCAACUGAAUGUUUCUAUCGUUCUGAUCCUUAAAAUUCCUUUCUUGAUGUAGUAGGAACUAAAUUUGCACAGAAGCAGAACUUUGGAAUACAUGAGAAACUUUUCAGUGACUGUAAGCAGAAACACGUACUGGAAUAAAACCAUUCUUCAGUUCAAGUUACCAUUGAUCAUGAUUACCUCACCAGCUAAGAGUAUGGAAACAAAACAUACAAGAAAAUUAAGACCAAUGAAAAAAAGGGAGGAAACAAUAAGGGCAAGAAACUAAAACUCAAAAAUGCUAAUUGUUGAAUACCAUGUAUCUUAUAUUUCCCUUAUCUUUGACUUUUAUCUAAGUACUUCUGAAAUAUCUAUACUAUUAUAAUACUUUUAUUUAAGUCUCAGAAUCUAACAAGAAAAAAAUACUUAGUCAAGGUAAGCCAGGUUAUGCAGCUACGCAAAGAACCAUAAAAUCUCUGUGGCUUAAAAUAAAAUUUCCUUCUUCAGGCUGUCCAUUGCUUAUUGACAGGUCUUUUUUUUGUGGGGGGUGGGGGAUGGAGUUUCACUCUUGUUACCCAGGCUGGAGUGUAAUGGCACAAUCUUGGC